rnacentral:rRNA from 1 species
GACGAACGCUGGCGGCGUGCUUAACACAUGCAAGUCGAACGGAAAGGCCCUGCUUUUGUGGGGUGCUCGAGUGGCGAACGGGUGAGUAACACGUGAGUAACCUGCCCUUGACUUUGGGAUAACUUCAGGAAACUGGGGCUAAUACCGGAUAGGAGCUCCUGCUGCAUGGUGGGGGUUGGAAAGUUUCGGCGGUUGGGGAUGGACUCGCGGCUUAUCAGCUUGUUGGUGGGGUAGUGGCUUACCAAGGCUUUGACGGGUAGCCGGCCUGAGAGGGUGACCGGCCACAUUGGGACUGAGAUACGGCCCAGACUCCUACGGGAGGCAGCAGUGGGGAAUAUUGCACAAUGGGCGGAAGCCUGAUGCAGCAACGCCGCGUGCGGGAUGACGGCCUUCGGGUUGUAAACCGCUUCCGCCUGUGACGAAGCGUGAGUGACGGUAAUGGGUGAAGAAGCACCGGCUAACUACGUG